GGGGGUGUAGCUCAGCUGGGAGAGCACCUGCUUUGCACGCAGGGGGUCAUGGGUUCGAUUCCCUUCACCUCCA
rfam:Desulfovibrio salexigens DSM 2638, complete genome.